ACCGCGCGAAGGUAGCGUAAUCACUUGUUCUUUAAAUAAGGACUAGUAUGAAUGGCGUCACGAAGGUUAUACUGUCUCCUUUUUCCAAUCAAUGAAACUGAUCUGCCCGUGAAGAAGCGAGCAUAAAAGUAUAAGACGAGAAGACCCUAUGGAGCUUUAAACUAUAAUUGCAUUGGCCCACCCACUACAUGCUUCAGAACUACAACAUUAAACCAAGCCUUAUGACCAUUAGUUUUAGGUUGGGGUGACCGCGGAGUAAAAAUUAACCUCCACAUUGAAAGGAGCACGUCCUGAGCUUAGAGUUACACCUCCAAGCACCAACAAACUGACAUUCAUUGACCCAACAAAUUGAUCAACGAACCAAGUUACCCUAGGGAUAACAGCGCAAUCCACUUCAAGAGCUCCUAUCGACAAGUGGGUUUACGACCUCGAUGUUGGAUCAGGGUAUCCUAGUGGUGCAGCCGCUACUAAUGGUUCGUUUGUUCAACGAUUAAAACCCU
rnacentral:rRNA from 1 species